ensembl:lncRNA
ACACUGAAAAAAAGGGACUGGCCAUCUCUUGGAUUUAUGUAAGCAUCUUGCAUGCAUUUAACACAAUUGCCUCAUGUUUUAAAGUUAAAUGUAACUAUAUAGUGUAAAAAUUACAUGAUAUGCAGAAAGGGUGUAUUAAAUUGUUCAUAUCAUGUUCAGGUGAAGUAAGUCAAUAAGAUAGCAACGUUAAAUCUCGUGAAACCACGCGUGAUUUCAUCUCGCGGGCUUUGGAUCGUGGUUUAAAAAAGGCAUCCAUCUCAGUCAAGUCGAGCAGCCAACUCUACGUUUUUGAUGACCUCUAUUCUGCAUUUCACCAGGAGUCAGCUGAUGGAUUGUGGGUUCAAGGUGUUAUGAUAAAAUGCAGCAUUCCAGUGCAUCCCAACCAUGCCUUUACAGUCAAGGUUUCUGACGGAGCUGAGUUUUUCUCUGACAGUCUGCUGAAAGUGUUUGCAAAGUGAUCGGGGGAACAGGGCACAAAGCUAAAGGAUGUAGCUGCCAUAAUGACAUCAAGGAUGACAUUAAUGCUCGGAGUCCCUCAUCAAAGUGCUCCGCAUCUGUGUGAAAGACAAUUGCAACAUCUUGGUGCAGGAGUUCAUGGACUUGACUGAGGCCACUGCACAGAUUGAGAAAACCACAAUGAACAUCUGUCUCCAGAGGAUGCAGCAGGCAAUGACUUUUCUGAUGUUGUUCUUCAAGAUCUGGAUAACGUGACCUUUGCAGUAGCCAUGCUGUUUGGACCUUUUUUAUUCCUUCAACAUGAGUUACCCAUCACAACUCUGCUACACUUUUGAGGUGAUUCAAUGGGUGGUAAUGGAGUUGGGUGCAACUCAGCUCUCAAGAAAAGCUCACAACUAAGACAAAACUGCUCCUGCAACGAAGCUCACUGUUAUGCAUGUGAGGUGACCAGCUCUAGGUGAGAGGACAUUUAAAUCUCACACUUGUUCUGCUGCAUUUUUGAAGCUCAAUUCCAGGAACGGAUCGCAGGGUUCAUUUUUAUAUACUCUGCAACUGCCAUGAGGACGAGCCGUUUUUUGUUGUUGUUUGUUUUUCCUUUUGCUCUGUACAAGUUCUGUUUGUCUGUUUGGCAGCAUUUUUAAAUUUCUCUUUGUAUUUUUUCUUUCUUUUACUAGUGAAGAGAUGUAGCGUGAACAGUUAUACAGUCUAAAUAUCCCAUAUGGGUCGUGUGAAAUGGUAUUUUCAGUUUCAUUCAGUUGAAGUAAAGAAC